rnacentral:rRNA from 1 species
UACGUAGGGUGCAAGCGUUGUCCGGAAUUAUUGGGCGCAAAGAGCUCGUAGGCGGUCUGUCGCGUCGGCUGUGAAAACUCGGGGCUCAACUCCGAGCUUGCAGUCGAUACGGGCAGGCUAGAGUUCGGCAGGGGAGACUGGAAUUCCUGGUGUAGCGGUGAAAUGCGCAGAUAUCAGGAGGAACACCGGUGGCGAAGGCGGGUCUCUGGGCCGAUACUGACGCUGAGGAGCGAAAGCGUGGGGAGCGAACAGG